rnacentral:rRNA from 1 species
CAGCCGCCGCGGGAACACGUAGGGUGCAAGCGUUAAUCGGAAUUACUGGGCGUAAAGCGUGCGCAGGCGGUGAUGUAAGACAGUUGUGAAAUCCCCGGGCUCAACCUGGGAACUGCAUUUGUGACUGGCGAGCUAGAGUAUGGCAGAGGGGGGUAGAAUUCCACGUGUAGCAGUGAAAUGCGUAGAGAUGUGGAGGAAUACCGAUGGCGAAGGCAGCCCCCUGGGCCAAUACUGACGCUCAUGCACGAAAGCGUGGGGAGCAAACAGGAUUAGAUACCCCCGUAGUCCCUGUCUCUUAUAC